CAGUCGCCACGGUAAUACGUAGGGUGCAAGCGUUAAUCGGAAUUACUGGGCGUAAAGCGUGCGCAGGCGGUUUGUUAAGACAGAUGUGAAAUCCCCGGGCUCAACCUGGGAACUGCAUUUGUGACUGGCAAGCUAGAGUCUGGCAGAGGGGGGUGGAAUUCCGCGUGUAGCAGUGAAAUGCGUAGAUAUGCGGAGGAACACCGAUGGCGAAGGCAGCCCCCUGGGCCAACACUGACGCUCAUGCACGAAAGCGUGGGGAGCAAACAGGAUUAGAUACCCCUGUAGUCCCUGUCUCUUAUAA
rnacentral:rRNA from 1 species